AAUCAGCCUUUAGGAUGCGAUUUUGUGGAGCGUGAGGAGCUAAUCGCCUUCAUGCCUGUAUAGUCGUGUACUUGGGGUGUACUUAUUCGUGUGGUAAGUUAAUAUCAAUUUUGGUCGUCAUAAAAUGACUGGAGGAAUGUAGCUUCGAUCUCGUAUUGAAGUGUUAUAGCCUUUGGUAGAUGUGAUUAUCGGGAUUGAGGAUUGCAACGGAUACCCUUCGGGGCUACUUGUCUGAUCUCUGAUCGUUGCUCUGGUGCCGAAAGCGUGCUUACGGUUAUCAAAGUCGAUGGUCAAUAGGUUAGAAUGGGUUAAAUUCGUUAAGGAUGUUGACGUA
rnacentral:rRNA from 1 species